rnacentral:rRNA from 1 species
AGGAUAAACGCUGGCGGCGUGCCUUAUGCAUGCAAGUCGAACGUGAAGCCGACUUCGGUUGGUGGAAAGUGGCGAACGGGUGAGUAACACGUAGGAACCUGCCCAGAAGUGGGGGAUAACCCCGCGAAAGCGGAGCUAAUACCGCAUGUGGUCGAAAGACUAAAGCUUUGGCGCUUCUGGAGGGGCCUGCGGCGGAUUAGCUAGUUGGUGGAGUAACGGCCUACCAAGGCGACGAUCCGUAGCUGGUCUGAGAGGAUGGUCAGCCACACUGGAACUGAGACACGGUCCAGACUCCUACGGGAGGCAGCAGCAAGGAAUUUGCGCAAUGGGCGAAAGCCUGACGCAGCAACGCCGCGUGGGGGAUGAAGGCCUUCGGGUUGUAACUCCUUUGCGAGGGAAGAAGAUCUGACGGUACCUCGCGAAUAAGCCACGGCUAACUACGUGCCAGCAGCCGC